AUUUUUGUAUCUCUUUUGUAGUCCAAAGGUCUGUGUUUUGGUAGGAAUUUGAGAACAAUGAAAUGGUGUGUGUGUUGGUAUCUCGGGCAGAUUGGUGAAUCCACGUCUUGAACAAAUUAUUUACAUCAAGAUUCUCGCAGGAUCUCCAGACUUGAUAGAGGGUGAUCCCCUCAAUUCUGUAAUCUUCGAUGUUUGAAGUUGAAUAUAUGGUUUAAAAGACGCUGCUUCACCGCAGUAACAUCCUUACUUAAGACCUGUCCUUGUAUAGAAUCUCUUUAUCUUACAUCAGCGGAGUUGAACUUUACAGCCGACAAAGAUGAUGGUGAAGUGGAAUUAUCAGUGUCAUCCAUAUUGUGUCACCUCAAGCGAAUCGAAAUCAGAGAACUUAAAGGGUGUGAUGCUGAAGUCAGGUUUCUAGAACUUCUACUGAUGAAUGCUCCGGUAUUGGAGGAAAUGGUUUUGUCUUUUGACAAAUCAAGCUCACCGGAAAUAGCAGGCUCAACUGAUAGAUUGCAGGUUGCGAAGAAGUUGGGUGAGAAGCUGAGAUCACUUUCAAAAGCUUCGCCAAGUCUGGCAAUGAUCUUCUUGUAAUUUUACUAAAUGCUAUAAGUUUUCCAAGGCUUGUUGUCAUUGGAUACUCCUGUUGUUCUUUUUAAGCACCUUAAAUGCUGUAAGGAAAGAUGGAAAUACCGUGUCCCGUUCUUGCUCGCCUUCAAUCAUAAACCAAAAUAGAGACUCCAUCCUCUAGUUCAGCC